rfam:Cytophagaceae bacterium SCN 52-12 ABS46_C0183, whole genome shotgun sequence.
GAAGGCAGGCCCUUCGGUAUCGGGGUACAGGCCCUGGUACCAAACCACCGUC